UACGUAGGGUGCGAGCGUUAAUCGGAAUUACUGGGCGUAAAGCGUGCGCAGGCGGUUGUGCAAGACAGAUGUGAAAUCCCCGGGCUCAACCUGGGAAUUGCAUUUGUGACUGCACGGCUAGAGUGUGUCAGAGGGGGGUAGAAUUCCACGUGUAGCAAUGAAAUGCGUAGAGAUGUGGAGGAAUACCGAUGGCGAAGGCAGCCCCCUGGGAUAACACUGACGCUCAUGCACGAAAGCGUGGGGAGCAAACAGG
rnacentral:rRNA from 1 species